rnacentral:rRNA from 1 species
AUUGAACGCUGGCGGCAGGCUUAACACAUGCAAGUCGAGCGAGCGGCGGACGGGUGAGUAAUGUCUGGGAAACUGCUUGAUGGAGGGGGAUAACUACUGGAACCGGUAGCUAAUACCGCAUACCAUACACUGAGCCCAGGUGGGAUUAGCUAGUAGGUGGGGUAAUGGCUCACCUAGGCGACGAUCCCUAGCUGGUCUGAGAGGAUGACCAGCCACACUGGAACUGAGACACGGUCCAGACUCCUACGGGAGGCAGCAGUGGGGAAUAUUGCACAAUGGGCGCAAGCCUGAUGCAGCCAUGCCGCGUGUGUGAAGAAGGCCUUCGGGUUGUAAAGCACUUUCAGCGAGGAGGCGUUACUCGCAGAAGAAGCACCGGCUAACUCCGUGCCAGCCGCCGCGGUAAUAC